rnacentral:sRNA from 1 species
UAUCACAAAUCCGGUUGUACUGCGUCU